GUGCCAGCAGCCGCGGUAAUACGUAGGGUGCGAGCGUUGCCCGGAUUUAUUGGGCGUAAAGGGCGCGUAGGCGGCCUGGCGCGUCGGCUGUGAAAUCUCCCGGCUCAACUGGGAGGGGACGGCCGAUACGGCUGGGCUUGAGCGAGGUAGGGGAGAGUGGAAUUCCCGGUGUAGUGGUGGAAUGCGUAGAUAUCGGGAGGAACACCAGUGGCGAAGGCGGCUCUCUGGACCUCUGCUGACGCUGAGGCGCGAAAGCGUGGGGAGCGAUCCGGAUUAGAUACCCGGGUAGUCC
rnacentral:rRNA from 1 species